CUUAAGCAUAUCAAUAAGCGGAGGAAAAGAAACCAACAGGGAUUGCCUUAGUAACGGCGAGUGAAGCGGCAACAGCUCAAAUUUGAAAUCUGGCCCUUGGGUCCGAAUUGUAAUUUGUAGAGGAUGAUUUUGGUGCGGUAUCUUCCGAGUUCCUUGGAACAGGACGCCUUAGAGGGUGAGAGCCCCGUACGGUUGAAUGCCUAGCCUCUGUAAAUCUCCUUCGACGAGUCGAGUAGUUUGGGAAUGCUGCUCUAAAUGGGAGGUAAAUUUCUUCUAAAGCUAAAUAUUGGCCAGAGACCGAUAGCGCACAAGUAGAGUGAUCGAAAGAUGAAAAGCACUUUGAAAAGAGGGUUAAAUAGCACGUGAAAUUGUUGAAAGGGAAGGAUUUGUGACCAGACUUUUUCUGGGCGGAUCAUCCGGGGUUCUCUCCGGUGCACUUCGCCCAGUAAAGGCCAGCAUCGGUUUUCGGCGUGGGAUAAAAGCAGUAGGAAUGUGGCUCUCUACGGGGAGUGUUAUAGCCUAUUGUAUAAUACCGCGCUGGGGACCGAGGUUCGCGCUUCUGCAAGGAUGCUGGCGUAAUGGUUAUCAAUCACCCGUCUUGAAACACGGACCAAGGAGUCGAACAUUUGUGCGAGUGUUUGGGUGUUAAACCCUCACGCGUAAUGAAAGUGAACGGAGGUGAGAGCCCUUACGGGUGCAUCAUCGACCGAUCCUGAAGUUUUCGGAUGGAUUUGAGUAAGAGCAUAACUGUUCGGACCCGAAAGAUGGUGAACUAUGCGUGGAUAGGGUGAAGCCAGAGGAAACUCUGGUGGAGGCUCGCAGCGGUUCUGACGUGCAAAUCGAUCGUCAAAUCUGCGCAUGGGGGCGAAAGACUAAUCGAACCAUCUAGUAGCUGGUUACCGCCGA
rnacentral:rRNA from 1 species